rnacentral:rRNA from 1 species
AUUGAACGCUGGCGGCAGGCUUAACACAUGCAAGUCGAGCGGGGAAAUAUAGCUUGCUAUAUGACCUAGCGGCGGACGGGUGAGUAAUGCUUAGGAAUCUGCCUAUUAGUGGGGGACAACAUUUCGAAAGGGAUGCUAAUACCGCAUACGCCCUACGGGGGAAAGCAGGGGAUCAUUUGACCUUGCGCUAAUAGAUGAGCCUAAGUCGGAUUAGCUAGUUGGUGGGGUAAAGGCCUACCAAGGCGACGAUCUGUAGCGGGUCUGAGAGGAUGAUCCGCCACACUGGGACUGAGACACGGCCCAGACCCCUACGGGAGGUAGCAGUGGGGAAUAUUGGACAAUGGGGGGAACCCUGAUCCAGCCAUGCCGCGUGUGUGAAGAAGGCCUUUUGGUUGUAAAGCACUUUAAGCGAGGAGGAGGCUCCUGUAGAUAAUACCUACAGAGAGUGGACGUUACUCGCAGAAUAAGCACCGGCUAACUCUGUGCCAGCCGCCGCGGUAAAAC